rnacentral:rRNA from 1 species
UGGGGAAUAUUGCACAAUGGGCGAAAGCCUGAUGCAGCGACGCCGCGUGAGGGAUGGAGGCCUUCGGGUUGUAAACCUCUUUCGCUCAUGGUCAAGCCGCAGCUUUGGGUUGUGGUGAGGGUAGUGGGUAAAGAAGCGCCGGCUAACUACGUGCCAGCAGCCGCGGUAAUACGUAGGGCGCGAGCGUUGUCCGGAAUUAUUGGGCGUAAAGGGCUUGUAGGCGGUUGGUCGCGUCUGCCGUGAAAUCCUCUGGCUUAACUGGGGGCGUGCGGUGGGUACGGGCUGACUUGAGUGCGGUAGGGGAGACUGGAACUCCUGGUGUAGCGGUGGAAUGCGCAGAUAUCAGGAAGAACACCGGUGGCGAAGGCGGGUCUCUGGGCCGUUACUGACGCUGAGGAGCGAAAGCGUGGGGAGCGAACAGGAUUAGAUACCCUGGUAGUCCACGCUGUAAACGUUGGGCACUAGGUGUGGGGGCCACCCGUGGUUUCUGCGCCGUAGCUAACGCUUUAAGUGCCCCGCCUGGGGAGUACGGCCGCAAGGCUA